AGAGUUUGAUCAUGGCUCAGAACGUACGCUGGCGGCACGCCUAACACAUGCAAGUCGAACGAAGUAGCAAUACUUAGUGGCAGACGGGUGAGUAACAUGUAGGUAUCUGCCCUUUGGCCUGGAAUAACACGAGGAAACUUGUGCUAAUACCGGAUAAGUCUUUACGGAGAAAGCUUUAUGCACCAUUGGAUGAGCCUGCACUUGAUUAGUUUGUUGGUGGGGUAAUGGCCUACCAAGACUGUGAUCAAUAGCUGAUUUGAGAGGAUGAUCAGCCACAUUGGGACUGAGACACGGCCCAAACUCCUACGGGAGGCAGCAGUGGGGAAUCUUGCACAAUGGAGGAAACUCUGAUGCAGCGAUGCCGCGUGAGUGAAGAAGGCCCUUGGGUUGUAAAGCUCUUUCGUCGGGGAAGAAAAG
rnacentral:rRNA from 1 species